AAAUCAACGCUGGCGGCGUGCCUCAGAACAUGCAAGUCGAACGCGAAAGUCCCUUUCGGGGGACAAGUAGAGUGGCGCACGGGUGAGUAACACGUAGGUAAUCUACCUUCGGAUGGGGAAUAACAACCGGAAACGGUUGCUAAUACCGCAUAAUGCAGCGGCACCUAAUGGUGACAGUUGUUAAAGCGGGGGAUCGAAAGACCUCGCGUCUGAAGAGGAGCCUGCGGCGGAUUAGCUAGUUGGUAAGGUAAUGGCUUACCAAGGCUACGAUCCGUAACCGGCCUGGGAGGGCGGUCGGUCACACUGACACUGACAUACGGGUCAGACUCCUACGGGAGGCAGCAGUCGGGAAUUUUGGGCAAUGGGCGAAAGCCUGACCCAGCAACGCCGCGUGAAGGAUGAAAUCCCUCGGGAUGUAAACUUCGCAAGAACGGGAAGAAUAAGCGAGAGUUAAUAUCUUUCGUGAUGACGGUACCGUUUGUACGCUCCGGCUAACUCCGUGCCAGCAGCCGCGGUAUUACGGGGGGGAGCAUGCGUUGUUCGGAUUUACUGGGCGUAAAAGGCGCGUAGGCGGUCAGCACAAGUCAAUGGUGA
rnacentral:rRNA from 1 species